CGGCGGGGGGGAGGGAGCACGGGGGAGGGAGGUAGCCCAGCUGUGGAGUUCUCAGCUCUGGUGUGCCCAGGAGGACGGACCUGUAGCUCAGGACGCAGGUGACGAAAUGUGGAGUCCUAACUUUGAAGAGCAGAGGUGUGCUGAUUUCGUUUGCUAAGAGCUGGUAGCUGAUGAGAAGAAAGAUGAGUGCAAACAGUGUCUGGAAUUCCACAGGCCUUCGUCCAAGACUCGCUGUUCGCCACUCACCCUCUCCAUCCGUGCAGCUAGGCCCGGUUCUAAAAUUCUGUGAGCCUGAGGCUGCGCAUGCAGUGGCACGUGCUUGACUAAGAAUAGAACUCCGAUGACUUGAAAUGCCACUUUCCGGUGGGGCAGCCAGGCACACACCGCCAAGGCUCAGAGGACCUGCCAGGGAGGAGACGGAAGAAAUGGAAGGAGCGCAUAGCCAGAGGAAGGCGUUGUCUUCCGAAGCUGUGCCAGAUUUUGUCCAACACAUUUCAGGAUUGUGACAAGGAAAUCGGGAGCCAACUCAAGGAGUGGGAGAAAGCUGGGGUAUGGUGGCUCAGGGUUGUUAUCCCGGCAGGAGGCUGAGGCAGGUGGAUUGCUGUAAGUGCAAAGCCAGGCUGAGCUACAUAAUGAGGCCUUGUCCCAAACAAACAAAAACAGCAGUGUGAGCAAAUAGCAUCCUUUGAAGGCUGCUCGGUGCUGAACCAAAAAGUCACUCUAGAGAGUCUGUCAGAUUCUCCGGAAGCCCAUUUCUCAUUCUGAAGGUAUGGGACACCCCAGAGUGUGGACAGAAUAGACUCUUGGAACUGUGUUGGACCCCAGACCUUAGAAAGCACCCCUCGCCAUGGGACAGCAGAGAGGAGGGGAGAGAAUCCAGGGCUCUUGUGUUUUUUUACCCAAUUGUCACGUCACCUCAAUAAAGUUUCAUCUCAAGGCUUA